rnacentral:SRP_RNA from 1 species
GCCGGGUGUGGUGGCGCUCACCUGUAGUCCCAGCUACUUGGGAGGCUGAGACAGGAGAAUCACUUGAACCUGGGAGGUGGGGGUUUCAGUGAGCCGAGAUCACACCACUGCACUCCAGCCUGGGUGACAGAGUGAGACCCCAUCUCAA